rnacentral:misc_RNA from 1 species
GCAAGGUCCACCACCCUGGGAUGCAACCUCCGGUGGGGAUGGGUGUCCUAAGUUUCUAUGUGAUGUGAUGGUUGAAGGAUUGGCAAAACAUUUAAGAUGUGUUGGCAUUGAUGCUGCUGUUCCUUAUUCAAAGAAGCCUGAAUCGAGGGAUUUAAUUGAACAAGCCUGUAAAGAGAAGAGAGUACUCUUAACGCGAGAUGCCAAACUCUUGAGACAUGAUUAUCUUUUAAAAAAUCAGAUAUACCGGG